GAUGAACGCUAGCGGCAGGCUUAAUACAUGCAAGUCGAGGGGUAGCAAGAUUGUAGCAAUACAAUUGUUGACGACCGGCAAACGGGUGCGGAACACGUACACAACCUUCCUACAAGUGGGGAAUAGCCCAGAGAAAUUUGGAUUAAUACCCCGUAACAUAACGAUGUGGCAUCACAUUGUUAUUAUAGAUUUUUCGCUUAUUGAUGGGUGUGCGGCUGAUUAGAUAGUUGGCGGGGUAACGGCCCACCAAGUCUACGAUCAGUAGCUGAUGUGAGAGCAUGAUCAGCCACACGGGCACUGAGACACGGGCCCGACUCCUACGGGAGGCAGCAGUAAGGAAUAUUGGACAAUGGACGCAAGUCUGAUCCAGCCAUGCCGCGUGAAGGAUUAAGGUCCUCUGGAUUGUAAACUUCUUUUAUAAGGGACGAAAAAAGGCUUUUCUAAGUCGUCUGACGGUACCUUAUGAAUAAGCACCGGCUAACUCCGUGCCAGCCGCCGCCGUAAAAC
rnacentral:rRNA from 1 species